GAGAGGAGCUUGCUCUUCUUGGAUGAGUUGCGAACGGGUGAGUAACGCGUAGGUAACCUGCCUUGUAGCGGGGGAUAACUAUUGGAAACGAUAGCUAAUACCGCAUAACAAUGGAUGACACAUGUCAUUUAUUUGAAAGGGGCAAUUGCUCCACUACAAGAUGGACCUGCGUUGUAUUAGCUAGUAGGUGAGGUAACGGCUCACCUAGGCGACGAUACAUAGCCGACCUGAGAGGGUGAUCGGCCACACUGGGACUGAGACACGGCCCAGACUCCUACGGGAGGCAGCAGUAGGGAAUCUUCGGCAAUGGGGGCAACCCUGACCGAGCAACGCCGCGUGAGUGAAGAAGGUUUUCGGAUCGUAAAGCUCUGUUGUAAGUCAAGAACGAGUGUGAGAGUGGAAAGUUCACACUGUGACGGUAGCUUACCAGAAAGGGACGGCUAACUACGUGCCAGCAGCCGCGGUAAUACGUAGGUCCCGAGCGUUGUCCGGAUUUAUUGGGCGUAAAGCGAGCGCAGGCGGUUUGAUAAGUCUGAAGUUAAAGGCUGUGGCUCAACCAUAGUUCGCUUUGGAAACUGUCAAACUUGAGUGCAGAAGGGGAGAGUGGAAUUCCAUGUGUAGCGGUGAAAUGCGUAGAUAUAUGGAGGAACACCGGUGGCGAAAGCGGCUCUCUGGUCUGUAACUGACGCUGAGGCUCGAAAGCGUGGGGAGCGAACAGGAUUAGAUACCCUGGUAGUCCACGCCGUAAACGAUGAGUGCUAGGUGUUGGAUCCUUUCCGGGAUUCAGUGCCGCAGCUAACGCAUUAAGCACUCCGCCUGGGGAGUACGACCGCAAGGUUGAAACUCAAAGGAAUUGACGGGGGCCCGCACAAGCGGUGGAGCAUGUGGUUUAAUUCGAAGCAACGCGAAGAACCUUACCAGGUCUUGACAUCCCGAUGCUAUUUCUAGAGAUAGAAAGUUACUUCGGUACAUCGGUGACAGGUGGUGCAUGGUUGUCGUCAGCUCGUGUCGUGAGAUGUUGGGUUAAGUCCCGCAACGAGCGCAACCCCUAUUGUUAGUUGCCAUCAUUCAGUUGGGCACUCUAGCGAGACUGCCGGUAAUAAACCGGAGGAAGGUGGGGAUGACGUCAAAUCAUCAUGCCCCUUAUGACCUGGGCUACACACGUGCUACAAUGGUUGGUACAACGAGUUGCGAGUCGGUGACGGCAAGCUAAUCUCUUAAAGCCAAUCUCAGUUCGGAUUGUAGGCUGCAACUCGCCUACAUGAAGUCGGAAUCGCUAGUAAUCGCGGAUCAGCACGCCGCGGUGAAUACGUUCCCGGGCCUUGUACACACCGCCCGUCACACCACGAGAGUUUGUAACACCCGAAGUCGGUGAGGUAACCUUUGGAGCCAGCC
rnacentral:rRNA from 1 species